ACUCAAGGAGAUACAGGGCUGAGGACAGGAAACCUAGGAACCCAUUCCAGAGAAUGGCACUGCCCUGCCCACGUGCAAGAUGAAUUUAUCCACUUCAAGCCUUCAGAGACAUGCUCAACGGCACUGUCUUUAGUGAUUCUAGCUGCUAUCAAGUUGAUGGAAGUAUCAUAUCUAGUCACCCAAUCAAGUCUCUUAGACAUCCACUUCCUCUUGGACAUCAGGAGCCACUGAAGUUCUGCAGUAUCAACGUCUUAAGGAACUGAUGAAAGAGGCAGAAAGAUAGCUUAGCAGAUAAAGAG